rnacentral:rRNA from 1 species
UACAGGGGGGGCAAGCGUUGUUCGGAUUUAUUGGGCGUAAAGAGCUCGUAGGCGGCUUGUCGCGUCGACUGUGAAAACCCGUGGCUCAACCAUGUGGUCUGCAGUCGAUACGGGCAGGCUAGAAUUCGGUAGGGGAGACUGGAAUUCCUGGUGUAGCGGUGAAAUGCGCAGAUAUCAGGAGGAACACCGGUGGCGAAGGCGGCACUCUGGGCCGAUUCUGACACUGAGGAGCGAAAGCGUGGGGAGCGAACAGG